AAAGCGUAAUAGCUCACUGGUCGAGUCGGCCUGCGCGGAAGAUGUAACGGGGCUAAACCAUGCACCGAAGCUGCGGCAGCGAACGUAUCACUUAAAGCGAUUCAGCGGGUUACGAUUGACGGAGCGAAGCGACGUCAAAGCGUAUACAAAGUCGAGUCGGUUUAAGGAUACGUUCGUUGGGUAGGGGAGCGUUCUGUAAGCCUGUGAAGGUGUGUCGUGAGGCAUGCUGGAGGUAUCAGAAGUGCGAAUGCUGACAUAAGUAACGAUAAAGCGGGUGAAAAGCCCGCUCGCCGGAAGACCAAGGGUUCCUGUCCAACGUUAAUCGGGGCAGGGUGAGUCGACCCCUAAGGCGAGGCCGAAAGGCGUAGUCGAUGGGAAACGGGUUAAUAUUCCCGUACUUGGUGUUACUGCGAAGGGGGGACGGAGAAGGCUAUGUUGGCCGGGCGACGGUUGUCCCGGUUUAAGCGUGUAGGCUGGUUUUCCAGGCAAAUCCGGAAAAUCAAGGCUGAGGCGUGACGACGAGGCACUACGGUGCUGAAGCAACAAAUGCCCUGCUUCCAGGAAAAGCCUCUAAGCAUCAGGUAACAUCAAAUCGUACCCCAAACCGACACAGGUGGUCAGGUAGAGAAUACCAAGGCGCUUGAGAGAACUCGGGUGAAGGAACUAGGCAAAAUGGUGCCGUAACUUCGGGAGAAGGCACGCUGACACGUAGGUGAAGUGAUUUACUCAUGGAGCUGAAGUCAGUCGAAGAUACCAGCUGGCUGCAACUGUUUAUUAAAAACACAGCACUGUGCAAACACGAAAGUGGACGUAUACGGUGUGACGCCUGCCCGGUGCCGGAAGGUUAAUUGAUGGGGUCAGCGCAAGCGAAGCUCCUGAUCGAAGCCCCGGUAAACGGCGGCCGUAACUAUAACGGUCCUAAGGUAGCGAAAUUCCUUGUCGGGUAAGUUCCGACCUGCACGAAUGGCGUAAUGAUGGCCAGGCUGUCUCCACCCGAGACUCAGUGAAAUUGAACUCGCUGUGAAGAUGCAGUGUACCCGCGGCAAGACGGAAAGACCCCGUGAACCUUUACUAUAGCUUGACACUGAACAUUGAGCCUUGAUGUGUAG
rnacentral:rRNA from 1 species